UGUGUGUGUGUGUUUGUGUGUAUAUAUAUCUAUAUAUAUAUAGAUAUAUAUACACACACACACACACAUAGA